rnacentral:rRNA from 1 species
AUAACGGUCCUAAGGUAGCGAAAUUCCUUGUCAGGUAAGUUCUGACCCGCACGAAUGGCGUAAUGAUUUGGGCACUGUCUCAACAGCCCGCCCGGCGAAAUUGUAGUACUGGUGAAGAUGCCAGUUACCCGCAACUAGACGGAAAGACCCCAUGGAGCUUUACUGCAGCUUAAUACUGAAAUUCGGUAGUACAUGUACAGGAUAGGUGGGAGACUGAGAAAUACAGGCGUCAGCUUGUAUGGAGUCGCUGUUGGGAUACCACUCUUGUACUGCUGGGUUUCUAACCUGCGGCCGUGAAUCCGGUCGGGGGACACUGUUAGGCGGGCAGUUUGACUGGGGCGGUCGCCUCCCAAAAGGUAACGGAGGCGCUCAAAGGUUCGUUCAGCACGGACGGAAAUCGUGCAAUGAGUGUAAACGCAUAAACGAGCCUAACUGCGACACCGACGGGUGGAGCAGUAACGAAAGUUGGAGUUAGUGAUCCGGUGGUAUGUGAGUGGAAAUGCCAUCGCUCAACGGAUAAAAGUUACCCUGGGGAUAACAGGCUGAUCUCCCCCAAGAGUCCACAUCGACGGGGAGGUUUGGCACCUCGAUGUCGGCUCAUCGCAUCCUGGGGCUGAAUUCGGUCCCAAGGGUUUGGCUGUUCGCCAAUUAAAGCGGCACGCGAGCUGGGUUCAGAACGUCGUGAGACAGUUCGGUCCCUAUCUGUUGCGGGCGUAAGAGAUUUGAAGGGAGCUGUCCUUAGUACGAGAGGACCGGGAUGGACGUACCUCUGGUGCACCAGUUGUCCUGCCAAGGGCAUAGCUGGGUAGCUAUGUACGGACGAGAUAAACGCUGAAAGCAUCUAAGCGUGAAACUCCCCCUAAGAUGAGAUCUCUCAUCCUUCAAGGAGUAAGGACCCAGAAAGACGAUCUGGUUGAUAGGCCGAAGGUGGAAGCGCAGUAAUGUGUGCAGCUGAUCGGUACUAAUAGUCCGAGGGCUUGACCUA